rnacentral:tRNA from 1 species
CUGUAGCUCAAUAGGUAGAGCGCUGGUCUUAUGAACCAGAGGUCGCGGGUUCGAUUCCCGCCUGG